rnacentral:rRNA from 1 species
CAUGCAAGUCGCACGAGAACGCUUCAGCUUGCUGAAGUAAGUAAAGUGGCGCACGGGUGAGUAACGCGUGGGUAAUCUACCCUCAAAUUGGGGAUAACCCGCCGAAAGGCGGGCUAAUACCGAAUGACAUCUUGAAGACUUAUGUUUUCAGGAUCAAAGGUGGCCUCUACAUGUAAGCUAUUGUUUGGGGAUGAGCCCGCGUACCAUUAGCUUGUUGGUAGGGUAAUGGCCUACCAAGGCUACGAUGGUCAGCUGGUCUGAGAGGAUGAUCAGCCACACUGGAACUGACACACGGUCCAGACUCCUACGGGAGGCAGCAGUGAGGAAUUUUGCGCAAUGGGGGAAACCCUGACGCAGCAACGCCGCGUGAGUGAUGAAGGCUUUCGGGUCGUAAAGCUCUGUCAAGUGGGAAGAACUCAUAUGGUGUUAAUAUCUCCAUAUGUUGACGGUACCACUGAAGGAAGCACCGGCUAACUCCGUGCCAGCAGCCGCGGUAAUACGGGGGGUGCGAGCGUUAUUCGGAAUUACUGGGCGUAAAGAGCGCGUAGGCGGUCUUUUAAGUCAGGUGUGAAAGCCCGGGGCUCAACCCCGGAAGUGCACUUGAAACUAACAGACUUGAGUAUGGGAGAGGGAAGUGGAAUUCCUGGUGUAGCGGUGAAAUGCGUAGAUAUCAGGAGGAACAUCAGUGGCGAAGGCGACUUCCUGGACCCAAUACUGACGCUGAGGCCCGAAGGCGUGGGGAGCAAACAGGAUUUAGAUUACCCCUGGUAGUCCACGCAGUAAACGGUGAACACUAGGUGUAGCGGGUAUUGAACCCCCUGCUGUGCCGCACCAAACGCAUU